AUUGAACGCUGGCGGCAGGCCUAACACAUGCAAGUCGAGCGGAUGAAGGGAGCUUGCUCCUGGAUUCAGCGGCGGACGGGUGAGUAAUGCCUAGGAAUCUGCCUGGUAGUGGGGGAUAACGUCCGGAAACGGGCGCUAAUACCGCAUACGUCCUGAGGGAGAAAGUGGGGGAUCUUCGGACCUCACGCUAUCAGAUGAGCCUAGGUCGGAUUAGCUAGUUGGUGGGGUAAAGGCCUACCAAGGCGACGAUCCGUAACUGGUCUGAGAGGAUGAUCAGUCACACUGGAAAUGAGACACGGUCCAGACUCCUAAGGGAGGCAGCAGUGGGGAAUAUUGGACAAUGGGCGAAAGCCUGAUCCAGACAUGCCGCGUGUGUGAAGAAGGUCUUCGGAUUGUAAAGCACUUUAAGGUGGGAGGAAGGGCAGUAAGUUAAUACCUUGCUGUUUUGACGUUACCAACAGAAUAAGCACCGGCUAACUUCGUG
rnacentral:rRNA from 1 species